CGAACGCUGGCGGCAGGCCUAAUACAUGCAGGCCGAACGGCUCUUCGGAGCAGUGGCGGACGGGUGAGUAACGCGUGGGAAUGUGCCCUUUGGUACGGAACAACACAGGGAAACUUGUGCUAAUACCGUAUGUGCCCUUCGGGGGAAAGAUUUAUCGCCAUUGGAGCAGCCCGCGUUGGAUUAGGUAGUUGGUGAGGUAAAGGCUCACCAAGCCUACGAUCCAUAGCUGGUCUGAGAGGAUGACCAGCCACACUGGGACUGAGACACGGCCCAGACUCCUACGGGAGGCAGCAGUAGGGAAUCUUGCGCAAUGGGCGAAAGCCUGACGCAGCCAUGCCGCGUGUAUGAUGAAGGUCUUAGGAUUGUAAAAUACUUUCACCGGGGAAGAUAAUGACGGUACCCGGAGAAGAAGCCCCAGCUAACUUCGUGCCAGCCGCCGCCGUAAAAC
rnacentral:rRNA from 1 species